CUCACAGGCGCACACACACACACACUCCAUGGCAACCACGACAGAAUGCUGGUCCGACGCCGGCCAAGCCCCAGCUGGAGCGGUGGCUUGGCCUACGCUAGGUCCGUCCCUGUGCACGCCUAAUGGAAUAUCAAUUUAAGGAAAAUUUUGAAAACCAAAAUAUACAUCAAUAUAUAUUAUGUUCCUCUCCCAUUAUCAUGUGGUAUCACUACAGCGACAUCUGGAAGGAUGGUGAAUUUGACGGAGAAGAUCUUCUCCCACUCGAGCUCCAUCACUUGCCGCGAGUCGUUUGGCGGCUUCAUUAAGGAUAAUGAGGCGCUGAUGAAGCUGAUGGUUGAUUCGACUGAGAUGGCCGGAGGCUUUGAGAUUGCGGAUCUGUUCCCGUCGUCGAGAAUUGUUGGCGCGCUGAGCUGGACGAAGCGGCGGCUGGAGCUUGAUGUGUUUUUUGAUGAUUUGAUCGAUCGGCAUAAGAGAAAACGGCUGGUGAAUGUAUCGGGGAAUUCGGAGUUUGGGAGUGAAGAUUGUUGAAAUAUUUGACACAUAAAAUAUUGAAGCACUCCACAAAGAUGGAGUAUGGAAGGAUAAGUGGGAUUAAAAACUUCUCAUUUAAAAGGAAUGAUAAAAUACACUCAUACAAAAGUGGUACCGCACUACAAAACUCUCUCUUUCUUUCUAACUAUGAGCUACGGCUCUUUUCUCACUAUUUUCACACACACUUUCUUAUAUAUUUCUUGUGUACACAUUCUACAAAAUGGCCUAAUGCCAAUAUAUAUAGAAAGUCUAAGUCGGUUCUUAACCGACAUUACCACAUCUAGAGAAUUCUAGCUAUCUUCUUUCUGAAUAUAAUAUUGCUAAUAUCUCUCUAUGUCGGUUAAUGCAUGGAGCUAGAUAAUUCUAAUAAUUACAAGUUGCAUGACAACUUUUAAUCUUCUAGAAUCCUCCGGCCACUUCAUCAUAAUCUCAUAUUUUCUUGAUUUCUACGUAAUGUUCACCAAGCUUCCAAUACUUUAAUAAACUUAAAAUUCCUUAAUUGUGAAGUAACUGAGUUUAAUAAACUCAACAAAGAUUUGGUUGAUGUGUUUCUUAGGGUUAAGGAAGAAGGGCAGCUGCAAUUUCCCAUCGACAAAGACAACAUUAAGGCUGUGUUGUAUGUAAGUCUCUUGUUGAAGCUUAUGCAUACAACGGUGAUUCCCUCUAAUACCAUGAUAAAAGAUAUCUUCAUAGCUGGAACUGAGACUUCGUCAUCAACUAUUGACUCUGAGGAUGCACCCUCCAAUUCCGAUGUUGUCUAGAGCUUCCAAGGAAGAACAUAUGAUUAAUGGUUACACCAUAUCUGCUGGAGAAAAGGUGACGAUAAAUAUUUAGGGACCCGAGGUACUGGAAAGAUCCCGAGAUGUUUAAGCCCGAGAGAUUCGAGAAUCUAUAUGUGGAUAUUAUAGGUGGUGGUUGUCACUUUUUGCCAUUUGGGACUGGAAAAAGAAUUUGCCCCGGGAUGACGGUUGGUUUGGCUACUGUGGAGUCGGCUUUAGCACAAUUGCUCUACAACUUUGAUUGGAAACUCCCAGAAGGUGACAGGGCUGUGGAUUUAGACAUGAUUGAAAACAAUGGGAUAACUGCUGUUAGGAAACAUCUCUGGGAAGUCAUAUAAUGUGGGAUAACUUUUAGAUCCUCUAUGUCUUGUAUUGUUAAUGUAAAGUCAUCCAUUUC